rnacentral:tRNA from 1 species
GGCUUGCUGCUCUAGUGGUAUGAUUCUCACUUUGGGUGCGAGAGGUCACGGGUUCGAUUCCCGUGCAAGCCC